rnacentral:rRNA from 1 species
AUUGAACGCUGGCGGCAGGCUUCACACAUGCAAGUCGAGCGAGCGGCGGACGGGUGAGUAAUGUCUGCGAAACUGCCUGAUGGAGGGGGAUAACUACUGAAAACGGUAGCUAAUACCGCAUACCAUCGGAUGUGCCCAGAUGGGAUUAGCUAGUCGGUGGGGUAAAGGCGCACCUAGGCGACGAUCCCUAGCUGGUCGGAGAGGAUGACCAGUCACACUGGAACGGUGACACGGUCCAUACUCCUACGGGAGGCAGCAGUGGGGAAUAUUGCACAAUGGGCGCAAGCCUGAUGCAGCCAUGCCGCGUGUAUGAAGAAGGCCUUCGGGUUGUAAAGUACUUUCAGCGGGGAGGCGUUACCCGCAGAAGAAGCACCGGCUAACGCCGUGCCAGCAGCCGCGGUAAUAC